UACCAGCACCCCGAGUGGUCGGGACGAUUAUUGGGCCUAAAGCAUCCGUAGCCGGUCGAUGCAAGUCUUCCGUUAAAUCCAGCCGCUCAACGGUUGGGCUGCGGAGGAUACUACGUGGCUAGGAGGCGGGAGAGGCAAGCGGUACUCAGUGGGUAGGGGUAAAAUCCUUUGAUCCAUUGAAGACCACCAGUGGCGAAGGCGGCUUGCCAGAACGCGCUCGACGGUGAGGGAUGAAAGCUGGGGGAGCAAACCGG
rnacentral:rRNA from 1 species